rnacentral:tRNA from 1 species
GGGCCCGUAGCCUAGCCAGGAUAGGGCGCCGGCCUUCUAAGCGCUAUCGUUUCGCCUGUGCGGGGCGAAGUAAGCCGGUGGUCCGGGGUUCAAAUCCCCGCGGGCCCG